AAACGACUCUCGGCAACGGAUAUCUCGGCUCUCGCAUCGAUGAAGAACGUAGCGAAAUGCGAUACUUGGUGUGAAUUGCAGAAUCCCGUGAACCAUCGAGUCUUUGAACGCAAGUUGCGCCCGAAGNCCAUUAGGUUGAGGGCACGUCUGCCUGGGCGUCU
rnacentral:rRNA from 1 species